AUACGGAGGGCGCAAGCGUUGUUCGGAAUCAUUGGGCGUAAAGCGCGCGUAGGCGGCUUGGAAAGUCGGGUGUGAAAUCCCGGGGCUCAACCCCGGAACUGCACUCGAAACUUCCUGGCUAGAGUCUCGGAGAGGUAGGCGGAAUUCCCGGUGUAGAGGUGAAAUUCGUAGAUAUCGGGAGGAACACCAGUGGCGAAGGCGGCCUACUGGACGAUGACUGACGCUGAGGUGCGAAAGCGUGGGGAGCAAACAGGAUUAGAAACCCCGGUAGUCC
rnacentral:rRNA from 1 species